CAAUCUGAAAAGGCUACACUCUGUAUAAUUCCAACUAUAUGACAUUCUGGAAAAGGCAAAACUUUGGAGACAGUGAAAGGAUCAGUGGUUGUGGGGGACUCAGGGAGAGAGAGGGAG